CACCUCUAGCAUUACCAGUAUUAGAGGCACUGCCUGCCCAGUGACAUUAGUUAAACGGCCGCGGUAUCCUGACCGUGCAAAGGUAGCAUAAUCAUUUGUUCCUUAAUUAGGGACUUGUAUGAAUGGCCCCACGAGGGUUUAACUGUCUCUUACUUUCAAUCAGUGAAAUUGACCCUCCCGUGAAGAGGCGGGAAUAUAAAAAUAAGACGAGAAGACCCUAUGGAGCUUAAAUUAAUUUGCUCAACAAAAUUUAAAUUCAGCCCAACAGGAAUAAUUAUAAUUUAACUGAGCAAUAAAUUUUGGUUGGGGUGACCUCGGAGUAUAACAAAACCUCCGAGUGAUUACAACUAAGACAUACUUGUCAAAGUUACGUAACUUAUUGAUCCAAUCAUAUUGAUCAACGAAACAAGUUACCCUAGGGAUAACAGCGCAAUCCUAUUUGAGAGUUCAUAUCGACAAUAGGGUUUACGACCUCGAUGUUGGAUCAGGACACCCAAAUGGUGCAGCAGCUAUUAAAGGUUCGUUUGUUCAACG
rnacentral:rRNA from 1 species